CAUAUUCACCUGCUCCUGAGUAAUUGACCCUGAAAUUGUGAGGUUUUUUUCCUUAUUUUUAAACUGAUGUGAAAAUCCCACUUAUUAUAGAAUCAUGGAAUCAUUUAUGCUGGAAAAGACUUUGAGGUCACUGACUCCAGCCUUGGGCCUGGUGCUGCCAAGUCCACCACUAAACUAUUUCCCUGAUUUUUGUUUGACUUCUAAUUCCAAUAUAGUACAGUGCCAGAUUAAUUUAAUGAAUUUAUAAACCUCAUAAUAUUUAAGUUUCAUUUGAUUUUGAAAGAACUUGGAUUAGGAAAGAUAAAUUUCUUCUACAUUAAUAUAGCAGGGACAAGUACACUGAAUUUUGAGAAGUUACUCAGCUUUUCAAAUUUAACUACUAAAUGAAAGAUUCUGCAUGUCUCUGUAUCAGAUAUGGAGGAAGGAUAAAGUUAUGUGUCACUUUUUGGAAAUCCUAAAUUCUGUGGAAGAUGAUGUAGCAUAUGACUGCUUGAUUUUCAUUAGUAUUCUUAUCUUAUUUAAAGUUUCUCUUUUUAACUAGAUAUUAAAGCUGAAGUGAUAAAAUACCAGAAGUAUGAAUCACCAAAGUUCUAUGUUGAAGUCUGUUCUCCUGACAUUUUUCUGAAUGAAUAUUGAAAUGCUUCUCAACAAAAGAUCUUGAAAUUGCUCUAUCAGUAAUCAGACCCAGACUUGACUUGAAAAAUAUUCUUUUAAUAUUUUGUUAUGAAAAGCAUGCUCUUAAUUUUAAUGAUGAUCAUUAAAACAAAUGUCUUGGAAGGCUACUAUUUUCAAUUCAGUCUCCUUAAAAGCAUAUGAAAGACCUGAUGAUAUACAUAGUAAGUACAUCCUGAAAAAAUAUUAGAAAAACAUACUAAAUUAAUGUAUAUGAUACACAUGUACAUAUAUGUAUAUGUGUGCUCCUCUCCAGAGAAUCAAAGGGUUUGGGUCUGUCUUUAUUUUUUUUAAUUUUUUUUUCACAUUUAUGGGAUGUGUAAGAAUUGGUUUAAUUUGAUGAAAUCAAACAUUCGAUGAAAACAAAGGCGUUAGCUCUGAAAUAAGACAUCAGCUUUGCUGGGCUAUAGAUCCUUUGAACUUGGAUGACAUUGUCUCUGAGGACAAGAUGUUUGAUGAAUUUUAGACUUUAAAGCCUUUGGUAGGAAAAAUUAGUCCAGAAUCUGUUCCUGCAGGAUGGGGGGAAAAAAAAAAUAAAAAUCAUUCUUCAAAAGAUCAGGAAAAAAAUUAUGUCAUUUUCUAUUUCCCUUAAGUACCUUUUCUUCAGAUGCUUAUAUUGGAAAAGGCUCAACAGCCAUGAAUUUAGGGGCUUAUGCUCCAAGUGAUCAGGGCAUUUAUGUCCUCUUUGCACAGAAUAUUGAAGAGAAACAAAACAAAAAAAAACCUCUUAGAAUUUAAGGAUAAAGGGCUCUGUGGGUAAGAUGGUCUUACAAAACAUCACUGACUAAUUUUAAUCUAUUAAUUUAAUAUAAUGAACAUAAUGAUUUGUGUAAAAUUACUUUACCCCCGUUAUAUGCCAAAUCUGUCAGGAACAGCUGCUUUGCAUUCAAUAUAUCAUAAUGACAUAUACUGUGGAGUUAUAAUAUUUAAAUUUCUUUUCAUUAAGGCCCUAUUUUAGAUUUGCAAGCUUAUGCACAAGGGGAGAAGGGCUGGUGCCUCCAUCGACUGUCGCUGUUAAAGGUUAUCUAAAAGAACUCUUGGCUCUGUGAAGAAAUGAGUAAUGAGUGCAAGUGGGUUUUGCAGACCCUGUUACAAGGCAAGAAUAAACCAGGAUUAAAAAGCCUCGUGGAGAGUGUUUUUCCCAACAGGCCUAAUGUUUAAUGGUUUUUUACUCAGAAGAAUUAGGAGGGUCACGGUAACUGGAGCUUGAAAUAAAGGUGAAUUGAUAACACAGGUGGGGAGGUGGACUGAAGGGUUUGUAAUUAAUUAAGCCUUUAUAAAAACCCAGAGGCUGCAGCAGAGACUCCUCUCCCUCUUUCCUACAUCCCAAAUACUCCUAAAAUUAUUACCUGGCCCUAAAUACCACUUUCUUUUGGAACUGCUGAUGAUACUCUUUGUCCUGUCACAGGGCUUGCCUGGACUUAUGGAAAUAAUGGAUCUGGAUGAACAUUUCUCACAGCUCAGAAGGUCCAAUUCUGGCUGAGAAGAAAUUAGCAUUGCAAACACCCCCCCACACACAUCAUGGAAGAGUGGAGAUGUUGUAAAACAUGGCUCCAGGCUCCUUCUGCUGUAGCCUGAAGAUUGGGGUACCUCCAUUCACCAAUAACCUGACUUCCUGACAUCUCCCAGAUCCUCUGAGAAUACAGCAAUUACCUGCCAGAACAGGGGAGCUGAGGAAAAGGGCAAAGCAGUACAGCCAUGCACACAAACUAGAAUUAUCUGUGUAUUACACGAGCAAAUAAAAUCACAGGGAGGGAUUGGAACUGACAUACGGAACUAAUUAAUUCAACUAACUGCUUCAAGUCUUUGAUAAACUGAUUUAUUUGAUGUUUCCCAGUCCAUUCCAAGCAGCACAGUCUCCCCUGAAAACUUCUGGACACAAGAGAGAACAUUCAUCUGUCUGCAGAGGAGUUUGCCAUCCUGCAGCUGACUCUCCCUUGCAUUUGUUGCCUUCUUUUUUCUGGCACCAGUGCCUGGACAGUUCUGAUGUGCUCUGGGAUGGCAGCAUGGGAGGCAGCAGGGUGAGAGCAGAGCUGCCACUCGGAUAAAUCCUCUGCUAGGAAGAGACAAGAAAAGAGUUCAGCAGUUCUGAUUUCUGCUAGAUUUGAUGGGGACACAUUGCUAUUGUGAAUAGCUUGUUUGUUUAUGUUUAUGCUCGCUUAUGUUUUUGUUUAUUUAUUUAUUUGUGAAUGGGGGCUUUGGUACCGUAGAAAUGAGACUGGUUUUCCUCAAAGACUGAAACAGAAGGAGAAAAUACCUCAGAAUAUCUUCUCUUUCUUCUCUGUUCAUCCUCAGCAUGGGAUUUUACCGGAUUUGGGACCUUUUCCACUAGAAACUAUUCACGAAGCAGCUGAAACUCUUUUAACAGAGGUAGAAACAACACAAAAAUAAAGUUUUUUUGCUAAGGACUGC